rnacentral:rRNA from 1 species
AUAAUGACGGUACUUGAGGAGGAAGCCCCGGCUAACUACGUGCCAGCAGCCGCGGUAAUACGUAGGGGGCUAGCGUUAUCCGGAUUUACUGGGCGUAAAGGGUGCGUAGGCGGUCUUUCAAGUCAGGGGUGAAAGGCUACGGCUCAACCGUAGUAAGCUCUUGAAACUGGGAGACUUGAGUGCAGGAGAGGAGAGUGGAAUUCCUAGUGUAGCGGUGAAAUGCGUAGAUAUUAGGAGGAACACCAGUUGCGAAGGCGGCUCUCUGGACUGUAACUGACGCUGAGGCACGAAAGCGUGGGGAGCAAACAGGAUUAGAUACCCUGGUAGUCCACGCUGUAAACGAUGAGUACUAGGUG